rnacentral:rRNA from 1 species
AUGGAGAAAGCUUUGUUGGCGUCAGAUGGUGGAAAGAUUCCCUGGCACGCUGCUACUGACUCACCACGAAGGACGACACAAAAUCUGAAACAGUGGGUCGCCCCAAGAUUAGGAGCGGUCAAGAUCAACUCUGAUGCUUCGUUCCUGUCUGACAGUGGUGCAUCUUGGGCAGGUGCGGUCGCUAGAGACCACCGGGGACACGUCAUCAUGUGCUUGGGAAAACAAAUGUCGACGUCGAGCUGUGUGGAAGAGGAGGAAGCCAAGGCGGCUCUGAUUGGCCUGCAAACACUGGUGUCAGCGUAUAAGGGGCCGCUGGAAUUGGAAAUGGAGUGCCAGACAAUCACAAAGGAACUAACGGCUGCUGGCCCCUGUUUGUCCCCUUGGCUCGCUGUGAUCCAAGACAUCAAAGCUACCCUUACCCAGUUUGCGUUGCACUCAGUCUCUUUUGCUGGGAGGGAUUGCAAUACCCUGGCGCAUUCAUUAGCUGUGGAGGCCAGGAGAACGGGAGACCUGGACUUUGAGGAAGAAAUCCCGGAGAUGUUUCGAAACAUGAUACGGAAGGAAUGUUGA